AGAUACUCUUGGUUUAUUUUGAAAUGUUUGUUCAUACUGUUGAUCCAUAACACAGCAAAUCAGGCAAUUCAAGUGCAUGUUCCGCAUAGGCUGGAUAAAUCUGAAGAAAUGAUUUACACAGAUAAAUUUUUCUAUCCCAGCAACGGACACUGAAACAACCUUGGUACAGUAUACAAUUGGUUCCCGGCCCAAGACACCUUUGAAAUUGGAUCAAGAGAAUGGAAGAAACAAAAAGAAGGACGGAUUUGAAUAUCCCUGGUUUUAUAAGGUCCUCUUGGAUUUGUGCAAGACAGGAGAUUAAGAAGAGAGUCCAAAAAGG